CUUCUAUUUUUGUAGUAUGGCCUUAACUGCACUACGCAUUGAGCCAAAUUUUGCGAUGCCCUACUCAGCUAAAGUGGAUGAGGUGUGUGCUAUGUAAAAUUUCAGGGCUCUUUCCGUUGUUUGGACCAAUUUCUUGGUGGCCACGUUGGUCAUGUCGCUCACAAUUCCACCAGCAAUGGUUGCUGACAUGGUCACCCAUUGUCGACAUUGGUUUUCUCCGGUAACUAAUUCUUCGCACCUCAUAUUAGCUAAUUGCAGGCACAAUGAACAUGCUGGGAGUCUUUUCACUGCGUGCAUGCAUGCCGACCUGCUCCAGGCCAAGUCCCCCGCUCUGUUUUGGACAGUGUGGUGCAACUGAAGACGA